GGGCUUGUAGCUCAGUUGGUUAGAGCACACGCUUGAUAAGCGCGGGGUCGGAGGUUCAAGUCCUCCCAGGCCCACCA
rnacentral:tRNA from 1 species